GGAGAGAUGGCCGAGCGGUCUAACGCGUCGGAUUGCUAAUCCGUUGUACAAGUCAAUUGUACCGAGGGUUCGAAUCCCUCUCUCUCCU
rnacentral:tRNA from 1 species